AUUGAACGCUGGCGGCAUGCCUUACACAUGCAAGUCGAACGGUAACAGGUCUUCGGACGCUGACGAGUGGCGAACGGGUGAGUAAUACAUCGGAACGUGCCCAGUCGUGGGGGAUAACUACUCGAAAGAGUAGCUAAUACCGCAUACGAUCUGAGGAUGAAAGCGGGGGACCUUCGGGCCUCGCGCGAUUGGAGCGGCCGAUGGCAGAUUAGGUAGUUGGUGGGAUAAAAGCUUACCAAGCCGACGAUCUGUAGCUGGUCUGAGAGGACGACCAGCCACACUGGGACUGAGACACGGCCCAGACUCCUACGGGAGGCAGCAGUGGGGAAUUUUGGACAAUGGGCGAAAGCCUGAUCCAGCAAUGCCGCGUGCAGGAUGAAGGCCUUCGGGUUGUAAACUGCUUUUGUACGGAACGAAAAAGUCUCCUCUAAUACAGGAGGCCCAUGACGGUACCGUAAGAAUAAGCACCGGCUAACUACGUGCCAGCAGCCGCCGCGG
rnacentral:rRNA from 1 species